rnacentral:lncRNA from 1 species
AACAAGGCCUUGCUGAAUUCCGAACUGAGAUUGAAAUGUUAUCUAAGCUCCGUCACCGCCACCUUGUCUCUCUUAUUGGCUACUGUGAUGAAAGAUCAGAAAUGAUUCUUGUUUAUGAAUACAUGGCCAAUGGACCUCUCAGAAGUCACCUUUAUGGAACAGAUCUGCCACCUCUGUCAUGGAAGCAGCGGCUUGAAAUAUGCAUCGGAGCUGCAAGGGGACUUCAUUAUCUUCACACUGGUGCAGCACAAAGUAUUAUUCAUCGAGAUGUGAAGACAACAAACAUUCUCUUGGAUGAGAACUUCGUGGCUAAAGUUGCUGAUUUUGGCUUAUCAAAAACAGGUCCAUCUCUUGAUCAGACACAUGUCAGU